CCGCUCCCUACGCCUCCCGAUCUGUCUGUCUGUCGUCGCGAGGGUUCGCGUAUUUGGGCGAGAUUUAGGGGUGUAGAUUAUUGAGUUGAUUGCCUGGUUAGGUUACUGGGUACGGGUUUUGCGCCGAGGGGCUCCUGCGCUGGUACAGUGUGUGCGGAAGCGGAACUGGUGAGUUUGUGUGAAGUCUGAAGUCUGAACGAUGCUAUUGUGAAUCCAAUCUGUGGUUUGUUGGUUGGGUUCUGCUGCGGGUGGAGCAGAGAGCAGAUGUGGAGUUCGUCUAGGUUAUGGUUGUUUUGUCACAUAGGUGAUGGUUGUUUGGCGAGUACAUGGGUGGAUAUUCUCUUGGGUUAGACUGAUUGGUGUGUUACUAGAUGCACAACAAAACUUGAAUCCUGAGCAUAAACCAGUCUGCAGAAGCUAAGGGUCGUUCUGCUGGGACGUUCUCGCUACAGGCUACAGGUAGCACCUAUUGAUGAAACUUUUCAUUUAGGGGGUUUACAUUGAUGAAACAUCUGGAGCUGAUAGCCCUUAGUUGCGGUAUUUUAGCGGCGGCUGGAGGUCUUAUUAUUAUUGUCUUGAUAAUUGAUUAAUUGCAGAUAUUUAUUUUUUGAAACAUGUAAAAUGUAAUGCUGGAUUCUGCCUAUCUUCAAAUGUGGUCGAAUUCGGAGGGAAUAAUUGAGGAUUUAGAAAGGCAUAUGUUUGUUGUCUGGUUAAAAGAAUUUCUUCAGAAUAUGUCAACCUGUCAGUUAGCACCUUUCGUUUUGUUGCCAAAAUAUGUUGUGACUAUAUGAUCAUCGUUUCUAGCAUAUUUUUGUAUCAAGCUGAAGGAACAUUAUGCUGGCAGCUGGCAGAGAAAAACACAAUAUUGUGAAUAGAGUUAAAGGAUCGUUGUUUGGACUUCGGAGACACGGUUUUGGCUGGCCCAAAAAUUGUCUAUAAUGUGGAGUAUCUCAUUAGUUGGUUAGCUUUAAGUAUGAGUUAGGUAAGUUAUCCUUGAGAGUAACACUGAUCUCAUCUAUAAUUGCCAGGAGAGCCCUCUAUAUAAGAAAGCCUAUUGUAAUAGUUGGCAUUAAGCAAGAGUAAACAAGUUCACUUCAUCCUCUUCUAUGUCUCUCCCCCUAAAGAAACCUUCGCCGCCUGGCUGUCCUCUUGUUAGUUUUUAUAAUGAAUUUAGUGAUAUUACAAUAUAUAUUGAAAGAAAAUCUCCAUCAAGUUUUAAAAAUGAAAACUAAUGGCAUAGAAACAUACACGUGUGCAGGCACUGUAUACAGUCCACACAUUCUUAUAAUCAAUGCACUCGAUCUGCAAAAUUCAGUUGGCAGCCCAGGUCUAAGGGAGAGGUCAAGCAUGCUUAACAGUGACGCCCAGAUCUCUGACGGAUUGUGGCUGUGGCCGCUUGCAUUGAAAGUGGUGGAAGUGGAACACAUCGUCUGAUAUACCGUGUCCAGUUGGAUGAAAUAGGUUCGGACUCUGCCACAAUCCCAACAUGGUCGAACUGAUGGACUCCAAAUACUCUGAGGGCAUGAGAGUCUGGCUAGAAGGGAGAAACUGGGAGAGCUAAGGCUGCGGUGCAGGUCGGGUGUGAGGUGAUCGGCGAGAGCAAGGGGAGAAUGGAGUGGAGAGCUGAAGUGGGAUUGGAUUUUAGCGAUGCAAACAGUUACCUAUUGUAGGCUGACACGCCUGCUGGUGGCGGCAGGACACCGUGAACACUACAUUCAUCAUGCUCAACAAGCCAGGAAGGGUUGUGCCUGUCGCUCGUUUCUGACAUGAUGCUGGCGGUGCACUUCUUGCUGAGGGGUGCCAAGUGUGAGGCCUUUGAGCCCAGUGAUGUUUUGCGGCUCAUGGGUGGCAUCUUGUCCUGCCACAGGGGCAACAAUCUCAUUCUGCGUGCCAGCAGGAGAGGCCAUGCGGAGAAGGUCGGAGUUCACAAUGUUGUUAGUUGAGACGUCCAACAUGCACGAGGUGAGGUGGGCACGUGACCCUGGUGACCCCAGGAAGAUGGUGCAGGAGACCAUUGUCUCACCCUACUCCCAGUUUUUCAAGCUGCUGCACUGAUUAUCACGUUCCAGGCUUCCAGCUCAGCCUUUUGUUGUCAAACUGUGUAUUGGUAAUUGUGUUGGUUUUGCAUGGCCAAUAUGAGGUUUGUGGUUUGUCCAGCCGUCCAUGCACUGUAACAUCUCUUUCGAGAGAGUACCAGCAAGAAACUGUGUGUUGCUACGUAUUAAAAAAAUCACUACAUUGAUGUGCUGACCUAUGUAUCCACAAAUUGAUGGCAUUUCUGGGUGUUUUUGCAAUACAUAUUUUAAGGUGCUGAUUUCUUUAGGAGUAAA